UGGCGGCGUGCUUAACACAUGCAAGUCGAACGAUGAUGCCUGCAACUUGUUGUGGGUGGAUUAGUGGCGAACGGGUGAGUAAUACGUGAGUAACCUGCCCUCCUUUUUGGGAUAAGCCUUGGAAACGGGGUCUAAUACCGAAUAUUCUGGAUGAUUCGCAUGGAUUGUUUGGGAAAGCUUUUGUGAAGGGGGAUGGGCUCGCGGCCUAUCAGCUUGUUGGUGGGGUGAUGGCCUACCAAGGCGGUGACGGGUAGCCGGCCUGAGAGGGUGACCGGCCACAUUGGGACUGAGAUACGGCCCAGACUCCUACGGGAGGCAGCAGUGGGGGAUAUUGCACAAUGGGCGAAAGCCUGAUGCAGCGACGCCGCGUGGGGGAUGAAGGCUUUCGGGUUGUAAACCUCUUUCGCUAUCGAACAGGGCUCACUUUUUUGGUGGGUUGAGGGUAGGUGGAGAAGAAGCGCCGGCUAACUACGUGCCAGCAGCCGCGGUAAUACGUAGGGCGCGAGCGUUGUCCGG
rnacentral:rRNA from 1 species